UAGGGAAUCUUCGGCAAUGGACGAAAGUCUGACCGAGCAACGCCGCGUGAGUGAAGAAGGUUUUCGGAUCGUAAAACUCUGUUGUUAGAGAAGAACAAGGACGUUAGUAACUGAACGUCCCCUGACGGUAUCUAACCAGAAAGCCACGGCUAACUACUUGCCAGCAGCCGCGGUAAUACGUAGGUGGCAAGCGUUGUCCGGAUUUAUUGGGCGUAAAGCGAGCGCAGGCGGUUUCUUAAGGCUGAUGUGAAAGCCCCCGGCUCAACCGGGGAGGGUCAUUGGAAACUGGGAGACUUGAGUGCAGAAGAGGAGAGUGGAAUUCCAUGUGUAGCGAUGAAAUGCGUAGAUAUAUGGAGGAACACCAGUGGCGAAGGCGGCUCUCUGGUCUGUAACUGACGCUGAGGCUAGAAAGCGUGGGGAGCAAACAGG
rnacentral:rRNA from 1 species